rfam:Heterocephalus glaber contig36884, whole genome shotgun sequence.
GGGAGUAUAGUUGAGUGGUACAGCAUUCGCCUAGCGUGUGCAAAAACCUGGAUUCUACUCCCAGCACACCCA